AUUGAACGCUGGCGGCAUGCCUUACACAUGCAAGUCGAACGGCAGCGGGGGAGAAGCUUGCUUUUCCUGCCGGCGAGUGGCGAACGGGUGAGUAAUACAUCGGAACGUGCCCUGUAGUGGGGGAUAACUAGUCGAAAGAUUAGCUAAUACCGCAUACGACCUGAGGGUGAAAGUGGGGGACCGCAAGGCCUCAUGCUAUAGGAGCGGCCGAUGUCUGAUUAGCUAGUUGGUAGGGUAAAGGCCUACCAAGGCGACGAUCAGUAGCUGGUCUGAGAGGACGAUCAGCCACACUGGGACUGAGACACGGCCCAGACUCCUACGGGAGGCAGCAGUGGGGAAUUUUGGACAAUGGGCGAAUGCCUGAUCCAGCAAUGCCGCGUGCGUGAAGAAGGCCUUCGGGUUGUAAAGCACUUUUGUCCGGAAAGAAAUGGCUCUGGUUAAUACCUGGGGUCGAUGACGGUACCGGAAGAAUAAGGACCGGCUAACUACGUGCCAGCAGCCGCGGUAA
rnacentral:rRNA from 1 species